UGGGGUAUCGCCAAGCGGUAAGGCACCGGUUUUUGAUACCGGCAUUCUCUGGUUCGAAUCCAGGUACCCCAGCCA
rnacentral:tRNA from 8 species